ACAUUACAUAGCAAUAAUAUUGAGGUGGUUGAAGAAUAACUUUGAAAAAAAAAAAGAAAGAAAGAAGGUAACGAGAGAGGAAAGUUGUAAUUGUUGGGUGGUUUGGCCUUGCUUAUAAGAAAUUGGCAAAAACGUAAAAGUUGCGGGAUUCACAAUGUUUCCUCACGUCAUGAAAAUGAUACAAGGUGUUGACAUCACUGUCACUAGCAAAAUCAUCAAGGCCCAAACACUUUGUUCCGAUAAGUAUUAACUGAUUGAUUCCAUUGUAACGAGCAAAAAAUGAUCCAAAAGGCGAAAUGGGUCCAAAAUGCACAGAUUUCUUAGUUUGUAAAGAAAGAAAAAAGGUGUGCAAGAAAUUAAUGACUCUGCACAUUGAAUCAACAAGAAUUAGUAAUUUUUUUAUGCAACGUACAUUUUAGUUGGUUGAACCGAGACAUUGCUUGAUCUUGGACAGUGACCCCUUUGGCAUAUACAAUGACUACGACUUGACCCUCAAUCCUUGUCCCUUUCUGUACCAAUAAAACCCCUCUUUCAUCUCCAUCACUUCCUUCAUUCUCUCUCUCUCUCUCUCUUUCUUUCUUUCUCUCGGAUGCUAUCUAUAACUUGCAUCAUCUCCACUCUCUUCACCUCUCAAUCAGCUUUCUUCAACAAGACAUGAUCAAUAGGUGAAGAUGAUGAUAGUGCAUCCUCGUCAUCAACGCAAGGAUUUGGUGCCUGCAACUUCUUCUUCAAAAACAACAAACUGUGCAUGCAUGAAACAUGGCUAGUUGCAUACAUAUCACGCUGCAGAAAUUAAUGAUGUCACGUGAAAGUACGGAUGAACAAGAAAACUAAUAUAUAUAGAUUUUUAUUUUCUAGGAAGAAAAGUAAUGUAGGAUGUUAUUAAUGUUGUGUUUGGGGGGAUGUAUUUGACUAUUUUGUUUCCUUUUAAUAAGUCUUGUUAAAUUGGUAGUUUUGUUGAGAUAAUAUAUAAAGCAAUGUAUAUGAGAAGUUGAUUGUGGAAUUUUCUCGCCAUUAGUCAAUACCAACCAUAAUUAAGCCCAAAUACCAGUCUUUUCCAUGGCACUAACGUCAUCUACGCUUUGAAUUUAUGAGAAAGAGUUGUUAAAGACUGCAUUCAAAAAAUGGAAGAUAACAUGUAUAUCAGUAUCAUCCACAAGGGAUUUCAAAACCCCAUUUUUGAAGGGGAUUUCUCAGAUCCAUUUUUUUCUUACGUCUUGACUUGGUUCUUGCCGAAGAAGAAGACCUGUACACUUCUAAAACAAACUCAAUUCUGAAAGUUAACCAUGGACAUUAACGUUUGACUUUUGUGAGUUAUCUUUUUAUUCCUUGAAAAUGUACUUUCUUUUUACCA